rnacentral:rRNA from 1 species
GACGAACGCUGGCGGCGUGCUUAACACAUGCAAGUCGAACGGAAAGGCCCUGCUUUUGUGGGGUGCUCGAGUGGCGAACGGGUGAGUAACACGUGAGUAACCUGCCCUUGACUUUGGGAUAACUUCAGGAAACUGGGGCUAAUACCGGAUAGGAGCUCCUGCUGCAUGGUGGGGGUUGGAAAGUUUCGGCGGUUGGGGAUGGACUCGCGGCUUAUCAGCUUGUUGGUGGGGUAGUGGCUUACCAAGGCUUUGACGGGUAGCCGGCCUGGGAGGGUGACCGGCCACAUUGGGACUGAGAUACGGCCCAGACUCCUACGGGAGGCAGCAGUGGGGAAUAUUGCACAAUGGGCGGAAGCAUGAUGCAGCAACGCCGCGUGCGGGAUGACGGCCUUCGGGUUGUAAACCGCUUUCGCCUGUGACGAAGCGUGAGUGACGGUAAUGGGUAAAGAAGCACCGGCUAACUACGCG